rnacentral:rRNA from 1 species
UGGGGAAUCUUGCACAAUGGGGGAAACCCUGAUGCAGCGACGCCGCGUGAGCGAUGAAGCUCUUCGGGGUGUAAAGCUCUUUCGGCAGGGACGAUAAUGACGGUACCUGAAGAAGAAGCUGCGGCUAACUACGUGCCAGCAGCCGCGGUAAUACGUAGGCAGCGAGCGUUGUUCGGAGUUACUGGGCGUAAAGCGUGCGUAGGCGGUGGUCCAAGUCUGGUGUGAAAUCCCCCGGCUCAACUGGGAGGGUGCGCCGGAAACUGGGCUGCUGGAGUGCGGGAGAGGCAAGCGGAAUUCCAGGUGUAGCGGUGAAAUGCGUAGAUAUCUGGAGGAACACCCGUGGUGCAGACGGCUUGCUGGACCGUAACUGACGCUGAGGCACGAAAGCGUGGGUAGCAAACAGG